AACGAACGCUGGCGGCAGGCCUAACACAUGCAAGUCGAACGCCCUAGCAAUAGGGAGUGGCGCACGGGUGCGUAACGCGUGGGAAUAUGCCCUUGACUACGGAACAACACAGGGAAACUUGUGCUAAUACCGUAUAAUGUCUCCGGACCAAAGAUUUAUCGGUCAAGGAUUAGCCCCGCGUUAGAUUAGCUAGUUGGUGAGGUAAUGGCUCACCAAGGCUACGAUCUAUAGCUGGUCUGAGAGGAUGAUCAGCCACACUGGGACUGAGACACGGCCCAGACUCCUACGGGAGGCAGCAGUGAGGAAUAUUGGACAAUGGGGGCAACCCUGAUCCAGCCAUGCCGCGUGAGUGAUGAAGGCCUUCGGGUUGUAAAACUCUUUAGACGUGACGAUGAUGACGGUAACAUCAGAAAAAGACUCCGGCUAACUUCGUGCCAGCAGCCGCGGU
rnacentral:rRNA from 1 species